CAAUAGCGUAUAUUAAAGUUGUUGCAGUUAAAAAGCUCGUAGUUGGAUUUCUGGUUGAAGCGACCGGUCGGGCGUUGAUUCGUCUGCACUGGAGUCGGUUUUGGCCAUCCUCUAGGAAAGGGCGUCUGGUAUUAAGUUAUCGGGCGUAUGAUCCUGGUCUUUUACUGUGAAAAAAUUAGAGUGUUUAAAGCAGGCCUUCGCCUUGAAUACAUUAGCAUGGAAUAAUAAGAUAGGACUUUGGUCUAUUUUGUUGGUUUGCAGACCGAAGUAAUGAUUAAUAGGGAUAGUUGGGGGUAUUUAUAUUCCGAUGUCAGAGGUGAAAUUCUUAGAUUUUCGGAAGAUAAACUUAUGCGAAAGCAUUUACCAAGGAUGUUUUCAUUAA
rnacentral:rRNA from 1 species